UUGUGUAUGUGUUUUGUGCAUAGUAGAGUAAAGCACGUGUCGUAAAACCUUGUUGUCACAGUUUCUCCAUGGCUAUUUUAUUGUUUUUAUUGGAUGUUUUGAUUUUGUAUUUUUUUUUGAUUCGAUUUUCUUAGUGUGUAGUGUCGGUUUAGUGUUUAUUUUGAUUACUUUUUAUUUAAAAACUAUAAAACAUGGUUCGUCAGUGCCAAAUUUGUAAGAAAUUGGACUAUUUAAGUCCUGGAACAACAUUCCACAGAUUAUGCUGCCAAAGUUUCCUGAAUACAAUUCCGACCACUCUGUAUAUCAAGAUAUCCCCCAUUACGUACUAGUUUUUCUUAAUAAUUUUCUAUACAUUUUCCAACGCCAAGAUGUACCAAGCGCAUACAAAUACAUCAAGCUUCAAACAAGCUUGCACGUUGACAGUAAUACCUACAGUAAUAUUGUAUUAUAUUAAUGUAAUAUUUUUGAACCAAUGUUCAAUAUUACUGUAGUAAUACUGUUUAUACUCAUGCCUUUUAUAUUUGUUUGAAUUUGGUGCAUAUUUCCAUUGAAUAAAGUAUAGUCACCAUUACCAUUAUUAUACUUACUCUAUAAUAAAGACAGUAACGAGUUAAA